rnacentral:rRNA from 1 species
AAUAUUGGGCAAUGGAUGGAACCCUGACGCAGCAAGGCCGCUUGAGUGAUGAUGGUCUUCGACUCGUAAAGCACUUUCCUUGGGGAAGAAGGUCUCCGGACUUGACGGUACCUAAUGAGGAAGCCCCGUCUAACCACGGUCCAGCAGCCGCGGUAAUACGCAGGGGGCAAGCGUUGUCCGGAAGUAUUGGGCGUAAAGCGUGCGUAGGCGGCCUUUUAAGUCAGAUGUGAAAGCCCACGGCUUAACCGUGAGACUGCGUUUGAAACGGGAGGGCUUGAGUAUCGGAGAGUGUAGUGGAAUUCCCAGUGUAGCGGUGGAAUGCGUAGAUAUUGGGAGGAACACCAGUGGCGAAGGCGACUACCUGGACGAAAACUGACGCUGAGGUGCGAAAGCGUGGGGAGCAAAC